rnacentral:rRNA from 1 species
CCCUUAGAUGUUCUGGGCCGCACGCGCGCUACACUGAUGCAUUCAACGAGCCUAUCCUUGACCGACAGGUCCGGGUAAUCUUUGAAUCUGCAUCUUGACGGGGAUAGAUUAUUGCAAUUAUUAAUCUUCAACGAGGAAUGCCUAGUAGGCGCAAGUCAUCAGCUUGCGUCGAUUACGUCCCUGCCCUUUGUACACACCGCCCGUCGCUCCUACCGAUUGGGUGUGCUGGUGAAAUGUUCGGAUCGGCCGUUUGUCGCGGUUUCCGCGUCAUGUGGCUGAGAAGUUCAUUAAACCCUCCCACCUAGAGGAAGGAGAAGUCGUAACA